UCCCUGAUAACUCAGUUGGUAAAGAAUCUGCCUGCAAUGCAGGAGAUCCCGGUUCGAUUCCUGGGUUGGGAA
rnacentral:tRNA from 1 species